CCGGGUAGCACAGUGGUAGCUGCGCCUGCCUAGUAAGCAGGAAGGUCCGCGGUUCGAUCCCGCGCGUCUGGG
rnacentral:tRNA from 1 species